GGAUGUUGGGGAAUUAAUGUAUCACUGAAGACAAUAGAAAACAGCAAGAGGAGAUAGUCAACAGUUAUCAAAUACCACAAGAGGUCAAAUAAGACAAGAACAGAAAACUGCCUACUGUAUUUGUCAGGUCUGUGGGGACUUUUGACAGCAGUUUCAGUGGAGGGGUGAGAACAGAAGACUGAGCGCGAUGGGCUUUCCCAAACCAGCAAUUCUAAUACUUGUAUACCUUUGGAGGAUGACAGCAUGUCGUUAUGUAUAUACCGGCUUAAAAGAUAAUUUGCGCAUGCACUGCUUCGCAUCAUAUCAACGAUGAAGCCAUCAAGUACACUGGGAUGUCACAGAAGUCCUCCAAAGUACCUAAGAAGAGCUCUCAUAUUCUCCUUGUCUUCUCAUCUUAUAUCUUCAAAGAACUGAUUCAAAAUGCAUUAAAGGCAACACUAAAGAACUGCUUAAAAUAGAGCAAAGGUGCAUCAGGAAAGACACCAUUUGUGUGAUGUGGAAGGCCACUAUAAACUAUGCUUUGAAA